AGAGUUUGAUCAUGGCUCAGAACGAACGCUGGCGGCGUGGAUAAGACAUGCAAGUCGAGCGCUGAUUACAGGGUAGCAAUAUUCUGUGGUCGGAGCGGCGCAAGGGUGCGUAACACGUGGGCAAUCUGCCGUGAAGUCCGGGACAACUUGCUGAAAGGCGAGCUAAUACCAGAUGUGAAAAUCGGGAGGCAUCUUCUGAUUUUCAAAGUUGGGGACCGUAAGGCCUGACGCUUCAUGAUGAGCCCGCGGCCUAUCAGCUAGUUGGUGAGGUAACGGCCCACCAAGGCUAAGACGGGUAGCUGGUCUGAGAGGACGACCAGCCACACUGGAACUGAGACACGGUCCAGACACCUACGGGUGGCAGCAGUCGAGAAUUUUUCACAAUGGGCGCAAGCCUGAUGGAGCGACGCCGCGUGGGGGAUGAAUGGCUUCGGCCCGUAAACCCCUGUCAUUCGCGAUCAAACCUCAAUAUUUAAAAGAUGUUGAGCUGAUAGUAGCGGAAGAGGAAGGGACGGCUAACUCUGUGCCAGCAGCCGCGGUAAUACAGAGGUCCCGAGCGUUGUUCGGAUUCACUGGGCGUAAAGGGUGCGUAGGUGGUCGGGUAAGUCGGAUGUGAAAUCUCGGAGCUCAACUCCGAAACGGCAUUGGAAACUACCUGGCUAGAGGUUUGGAGGGGGGACUGGAAUGCUUGGUGUAGCAGUGAAAUGCGUAGAUAUCAAGCGGAACACCAAUGGCGAAGGCGAGUCCCUGGACAACACCUGACACUGAGGCACGAAAGCUAGGGGAGCAAACAGGAUUAGAUACCCUAGUAGUCC
rnacentral:rRNA from 1 species